UACGAAGGUCCCGAGCGUUGUUCGGAAUCACUGGGCGUAAAGGAGCUCGUAGGCGGUUCCGUAAGUCAGAUGUGAAAACUCAAGGCUCAACCCGGACGACGCCAUCUGAUACUGCGGGUGACUGGAGUCUGGUAGGGGAACACGGAAUUCCUGGUGUAGCGGUGAAAUGCGUAGAUAAUCAGGAGGAACACCGGUGGUGUAGACGGCUUUCUGGACCGUAACUGACGCUGAGACACGAAAGCGUGGGUAGCAAACAGG
rnacentral:rRNA from 1 species